CCAUGGACGCUCUGAACUCCGACGGUCGGGAUUGGAAAUGAAAGUCUCUCGCUUUAACGCCAUACGGGUUCGGAGUCUGAGGGAGAGCGACGCCAGAUUUGAGAACGGAGACUGUGGCGGCGGAGGGGGAUGGAGUAAGGUGGUGAAGUAGAGCGGCGUUGAUGGAGGUGAGAGAGGCGGACAGAGUCUGAGUCCGCCUUGAGGCACCAAGGACGGAUCGGCGGAGAACUGUGCUGAUCAUUUUCAGAUCUAGAGGAGGGAGGUGAGAUGAGAAGGAAAAUGUUUGACAGAGAAAACCCAAAUUAGGGUUUUAGGGUUUUAGUGAGGGGCCUUUAAAGAAGAAGAAGGCAGGUGGCAACUUGAAAGUAUCUACGCCUCCUACAAGUAUUAAAAAAAAAAAAAAAAAGAAGAUAUUUUGUUAUAAUCGCCUGCAGGUGAGUGUAUGGUAUACUCCUGUACCUGCUGCGCGAGUUUAUUUUUCCUUGAGCCCAGAGGUGUGAACAAAGUGGGCCGAGUUACUUGGUGCGUAAAUAAUUCCGGAUUUUAUAAAUACUAAUUUGAAAUUGUCAUAAUUUGAAUUGGUUAUUUUGACUUUUAACUAAUGUUAAUUAAUUUUAAAAAUAUCUGUUCAAUGUGCAUAUCUAACCUACUACUCGGCUGGGAAAUGAGAAUCAUUUUACUGACAAAAUAGAUCCACUCUUUUUCAAAGCUGUAAACUACUCGCGCUUAUGAAGAUUUUCAUGGCGGCUUCAACCAUAGUAUGACUCUGUACAUGGGAUGCCGUGAAGACUGAUAACAAGUCUGGUGAUCACUGAGACUAAACUUGCUCUGAGCAAGCGUGGGAUCGAGGUAAUUGUGUCCCAAGGCCAUUGCUCAACUUAUUGGAUUGUGUUUUUCCAAUUCUCUACUCUGCUUCACAGCAUUAGAAUUCAUAUGGUACUACUUAUUAAUGAAAACAUUCAAAAGACUAACUAUGAUAUAUUGCAAGUCUAUUUUGUUUUGUCAAGCAAUUUCAAUAGAAAAAUCAUCUAACAAACACAUAAUGAAUUGGCAUAUAACAUUGCGCACCAAAAUUCAAACUAAAACCAUGUAUAGCUGACUUAUCUGUUGAAUCCCGUAAGAUUCAGACAUUAUUGCAGGAUCAGGUCAAAACCCCCACCUGUAAACAUUCUCAGAAACGAUAUCUCUAAGCCCUGUCUCACUUGCUGCCUAACACAGGAGACAUAUCCAAACGGGUCUUGCAGUGGAACUGCAGCUCGUACUGAGCUCCGAGGAUACGGUAACGCUUCAACCAAAACAGCUUGUUGCUAAGCUCGUGGCUCUGAGCUUUGAUGACAAGAAACCGUUUCUUGAACCUCAUCUCGAACUGCUCUCUGGACUUCUUGUCGACGUGAGGGGAACGAAGCACCGUGUACAAGGUCCUUGUGUCGGGCAUGGCGGCGUAGCGACUGUGAGGAGGAAGACACCAAGCUUCCUUCUCCGGGUUAUCGAAUGAACGGAUCGCAAUGCAGAUCCUCGUUCCUUUGAUCUUUGAUGUGCUUUCUCCUCCUCCUUUCUUCUAAUUUAAAACCGCAACACACAAGAAAGAAGCAACGGUUCAUAACUGUAUUAGAAUCAUCUAAGAACGAGUUUUAGAGAAGGAAAUGGUACCUUCUUGCUCAAUGGUUUGACAUUCUCCGGAGAGAUUUUGAUCUUAGCUGAAUCUCCGAUGCUGCUUUCACUCCCUGUGGCGUAACCUCGAAACGAGAUCUUCGCCGGGGAAACCAUAGAAGGCUCAGAUCUGAUGUGGAAGUCCCUCGCGCUGAUAACGAACGAUGCGGAGGAGAGAGUAGAUCCAUUCCCAACCAGAUUCAGCUUCACGGAGGCUCCGGUGGCGGCUGAAGUGAUAUUGAGUGAGAGACCCGAGUCAAAAGAGGUCAGCGCGGCGGAGAGAGCAUGCCUCGACGGCAAGGAAGAUCUGCGGAGUACUCCGAUCAUUUACGGAGACUGUGGCGGCGGAGGGGGAUGGAGUAAGGUGGUGAAGUAGAGCGGCGUUGAUGGAGGUGAGAGAGGCGGACAGAGUCUGAGUCCGCCUUGAGGCACCAAGGACGGAUCGGCGGAGAACUGUGCUGAUCAUUUUCAGAUCUAGAGGAGGGAGGUGAGAUGAGAAGGAAAAUGUUUGACAGAGAAAACCCAAAUUAGGGUUUUAGGGUUUUAGUGAGGGGCCUUUAAAGAAGAAGAAGGCAGGUGGCAACUUGAAAGUAUCUACGCCUCCUACAAGUAUUAAAAAAAAAAAAAAAAAGAAGAUAUUUUGUUAUAAUCGCCUG
rnacentral:lncRNA from 1 species